UUGACGCUUAAGUUCUCGGGUUCCGCGGCAGGCCUGGUUGGAGAUAGCUUCCUUUCCUUGGGUGGAUCUGUUGAGCGUGGAUUCGAUCUAGGGGCAUAACCGAGUAUCAGGUAGGGGUUCAGCGAGGGGCAGACCGACGAGAGGCAGGAAG